rnacentral:tRNA from 1 species
GCGGGUGUACUCAAUGGUAGAGUUCUGGCCUUCCAAGCCAGCUGUGAGGGUUCGAUCCCCUUCACCCGCUCCA